GUGGCAGAAGAUACAAUCACUGAUGCCUGCGAUUUCACUCAACAACUCGUCUCGCACGCCCCACCAUUUCUUGUGAAGUGGUUUCCUGAAACAAUGAGUUAGAGAUGAUAUUAGAGGUUUGUUCCGGCCUCAGGGAGCUUAAGGUCUCACUGAACUCGCGCUGGUGGUGGUCGUAGCGUUUCUUCUCGUGAUCGAACUCGGCUCCGACGUCGACUACUAUGUCGCAUUCUUUAAGCUUUUCCAUAUCUCUUGUUCUGACAAUUGCGGCGUCUUUAAACUCCGGAAGGCACUUAAGCAUGAAGCAAGCCAAAACUUCAUCGCAAUGGAAGACGCCAUCGUGAGUUCCGAUCUAAAAUUAUUUAUUAUUAUGUGAGUUUUAGAAUCAAUAAAUGUAGUCAACUGA